GUAUGAACAGGAAAAAAAAUCACAUGUACAAUAAUUUUUAAAAAGUGAAGGUUAAUCUUGGGAGCUAUCAGUUCCCCUCUCCCACCCCCUCCAGACUUCCAGCAUUUCCACUAUGGUUAAGCCUCUACUAACUAGCAUU